rnacentral:rRNA from 1 species
GAUGAACGCUGGCGGCGUGCCUAAUACAUGCAAGUCGAGCGAACGGACGAGAAGCUUGCUUUUCUGAUGUUAGCGGCGGACGGGUGAGUAACACGUGGAUAACCUACCUAUAAGACUGGGAUAACUUCGGGAAACCGGAGCUAAUACCGGAUAAUAUUUUGAACCGCAUGGUUCAAAAGUGAAAGACGGUCUUGCUGUCACUUAUAGAUGGAUCCGCGCUGCAUUAGCUAGUUGGUAAGGUAACGGCUUACCAAGGCAACGAUGCAUAGCCGACCUGAGAGGGUGAUCGGCCACACUGGAACUGAGACACGGUCCAGACUCCUACGGGAGGCAGCAGUAGGGAAUCUUCCGCAAUGGGCGAAAGCCUGACGGAGCAACGCCGCGUGAGUGAUGAAGGUCUUCGGAUCGUAAAACUCUGUUAUUAGGGAAGAACAUAUGUGUAAGUAACUGUGCACAUCUUGACGGUACCUAAUCAGAAAGCCACGGCUAACUACGUGCCAGCAGCCGCGGUAAUACGUAGGUGGCAAGCGUUAUCCGGAAUUAUUGGGCGUAAAGCGCGCGUAGGCGGUUUUUUAAGUCUGAUGUGAAAGCCCACGGCUCAACCGUGGAGGGUCAUUGGAAACUGGAAAACUUGAGUGCAGAAGAGGAAAGUGGAAUUCCAUGUGUAGCGGUGAAAUGCGCAGAGAUGUGGAGGAACACCAGUGGCGAAGGCGACUUUCUGGUCUGUAACUGACGCUGAUGUGCGAAAGCGUGGGGAUCAAACAGGAUUAGAUACCCUGGUAGUCCACGCCGUAAACAAUGAGUGCUAAGUGUUAGGGGGUUUCCGCCCCUUAGUGCUGCAGCUAACGCAUUAAGCACUCCGCCUGGGGAGUACGACCGCAAGGUUGAAACUCAAAGGAAUUGACGGGGGCCCGCACAAGCGGUGGAGCAUGUGGUUUAAUUCGAAGCAACGCGAAGAACCUUACCAAAUCUUGACAUCCUUUGACAACUCUAGAGAUAGAGCCUUCCCCUUCGGGGGACAAAGUGACAGGUGGUGCAUGGUUGUCGUCAGCUCGUGUCGUGAGAUGUUGGGUUAAGUCCCGCAACGAGCGCAACCCUUAAGCUUAGUUGCCAUCAUUAAGUUGGGCACUCUAAGUUGACUGCCGGUGACAAACCGGAGGAAGGUGGGGAUGACGUCAAAUCAUCAUGCCCCUUAUGAUUUGGGCUACACACGUGCUACAAUGGACAAUACAAAGGGCAGCGAAACCGCGAGGUCAAGCAAAUCCCAUAAAGUUGUUCUCAGUUCGGAUUGUAGUCUGCAACUCGACUACAUGAAGCUGGAAUCGCUAGUAAUCGUAGAUCAGCAUGCUACGGUGAAUACGUUCCCGGGUCU